rnacentral:rRNA from 1 species
GACGAACGCUGGCGGCGUGCCUAAUACAUGCAAGUCGAACGCAGUGGGGACGGGUGAGUAACAAGUGGGUAACCUCCCAUCAGAGGGGAUAACACUUGGAAACAGGUGCUAAACCGAUACUGAUGGAUGAACCCGCGGUGCAUUAGCUAGUUGGUGAGGUCACGGCGCACCAAGGCCACGAUGCAUAGCCGACCUGAGAGGGUGAGCGGCCCAACGGGAACUGAGACACGGCCCAGACGCCUACGGGAGGUAGCAGUAGGGAAUCUUCGGCAAUGGACGAAAGUCUGCUCGAGCAACGCCGCGUGAGUGAAGAAGGUUUUCGGAUCGUAAAACUCUGUUGUUAGAGAAGCGGUAUCUAACCAGAAAGCAAAGGCUAACUACGUGCCAGCAGCCGCGGUAAUUC